rnacentral:rRNA from 1 species
UACGUAGGGGGCAAGCGUUGUCCGGAAUCAUUGGGCGUAAAGAGCGCGUAGGCGGUCCGGUAAGUCCGCUCUGAAAGUCCGGGGCUCAACCCUGGAAAGCCGGCCGAUACUGUCGGACUAGAGUCCGGAAGAGGCGAGUGGAAUUCCCGGUGUAGCGGUGAAAUGCGCAGAUAUCGGGAGGAACACCAAUGGCGAAGGCAGCUCGCUGGGACGGUACUGACGCUGAGGCGCGAAAGCGUGGGGAGCAAACAGG